GCUUGGCUGGCUCAGUUGGUGAAGCAUGUGACUCUUGAUCUUGGGGUUGUGAGUUCGAACCCCAUGCUGGGUG
rnacentral:tRNA from 1 species